rnacentral:snRNA from 1 species
ACUAAAAUUAGAAUGAUACAGAGAUUAGCAUGGCCCCUGUACAAGGAUGACACAAAUUCAUGAAGCAUUCCAUAUUUUA